ACGAACUUAACCAUUAGUUUACUAUUGGAGCGGUUAGUGGCGGACUGGUGAGUAACACGUAAGCAACCUGCCUAUCAGAGGGGAACAACAGUUAGAAAUGACUGCUAAUACCGCAUAUGCCUUGAGUAUCACAUGGUACAAAAGGGAAAGGAGCAAUCCGCUGAUAGAUGGGCUUGCGUCUGAUUAGAUAGUUGGUGAGGUAACGGCCCACCAAGUCGACGAUCAGUAGCCGGACUGAGAGGUUGAACGGCCACAUUGGGACUGAGAUACGGCCCAGACUCCUACGGGAGGCAGCAGUCGGGAAUAUUGCGCAAUGGAGGAAACUCUGACGCAGUGACGCCGCGUGCAGGAAGAAGGUUUUCGGAUUGUAAACUGCUUUAGACAGGGAAGAAACAAGACAGUACCUGUAGAAUAAGCUCCGGCUAACUACGUGCCAGCAGCCGCGGUAAUACGUAGGGAGCAAGCGUUAUCCGGAUUUAUUGGGUGUAAAGGGUGCGUAGACGGGAAAUUAAGUUAGUUGUGAAAUCCCUCGGCUUAACUGA
rnacentral:rRNA from 1 species